GACGAACGCUGGCGGCGUGCUUAACACAUGCAAGUCGAACGGUGACGAGGAGCUUGCUCCUCUGAUCAGUGGCGAACGGGUGAGUAACACGUGAGCAACCUGCCCCAGACUCUGGGAUAACAGUUGGAAACAGCUGCUAAUACCGGAUACGAGACGGAGAGGCAUCUCUACCGUCUGGAAAGUUUUUCGGUCUGGGAUGGACUCGCGGCCUAUCAGCUAGUUGGUGAGGUAAUGGCUCACCAAGGCGACGACGGGUAGCCGGCCUGAGAGGGCGACCGGCCACACUGGGACUGAGACACGGCCCAGACUCCUACGGGAGGCAGUAGUGGGGAAUAUUGCACAAUGGGCGAAAGCCUGAUGCAGCGACGCCGCGUGAGGGAUGACGGCCUUCGGGUUGUAAACCUCUUUCAGCAGGGAAGAAGCGAAAGUGACGGUACCUGCAGAAGAAGCACCGGCUAACUACGUG
rnacentral:rRNA from 1 species